rnacentral:rRNA from 1 species
AACGUAGGACACAAGCGUUGUUCGGAAUUACUGGGCGUAAAGGGCUCGUAGGCGGCCAACUAAGUCAGACGUGAAAUCCCUCAGCUUAACUGGGGAACUGCGUCUGAUACUGGAUGGCUUGGAUUUGGGAGAGGGAUGCGGAAUUCCAGGUGUAGCGGUGAAAUGCGUAGAUAUCUGGAGGAACACCGGUGGCGAAGGCGGCAUCCUGGACCAAUAUUGACGCUGAGGAGCGAAAGCCAGGGGAGCAAACGGG